AAUCACACUACAAAACAAUUUAUUAGCGGUUUUCAUAACCCUAUUGUUGGAAAAUAUAUGUUAUAACUAGAAAUAAAGAAUGCAGUUAUAUCAAGCCUAGUUUCUAACCAUUUGCUAUGGUUCACAUUCUUGUAAUAAAUUCACAACAUCAAGCAAUCAACUUGAACAUAUAAAGAUUAUGUAAGUUGAUCUCUUCUGAUAAGCUCGUGUUUAGGUCUUCAAUCUCAGCUUCUUCAAAUUUUUAGAACAUAUUCAUGAUUGUCACCUCUUUUUAUAAUCUGUAUUUGCCAUGUAUAGAAAUCCAAUUUGCUAGAAUAAAACAGUUUGGUUGAAGUUGUCAAAAGUAUAUGGUUCCUGUAAAGAGAAGGAAAAGACGAAACUUAAGUUUGAAUUAGUGAAAAAUAUGAAUCACUACAACUUUAAUAGAUGGUUGAAACUAGUCUCACAUUAUCCAUUUCAAAGAUAUAUAGAAUAUUAAACCAUAUUCUUCUUGUUCUAUGAAUAAUUGAUGUUAGGGGUGUACAUGGAUCGAGUUGGUUCAGUUGUUAUCAAAACCAAACCAAAUCAACUACAUCGGUUUGGAUUGGUUCGGUUUUAUCGGGUAUUUUUGGGGUUUUCUUGUUAUCUAAAUAUUAUUUCAAUCUUACUUUGUUAAAUAUUUGAUAAGUAAAUACUUAUUUAUUAAAAAUAUAAUUGACAAACAUAUUAUCGAUUAAAAUAUUCUUAUGGGAGAAUUCGAUCAGCAACACAUAAUAGUUAUUUUUUUAGUCGUCUGACAAUAAUUUUUUGUUGAUAUACAUUUUCAAGUUGACCGAAUUUAUUAUGAUACCUAAAUAUUAAUAAUCACUUCACAUUCGAAUAAAAUAUAAGAAUUUAAUAGAUUUUAACAUAUGAUAUGAAUAUGGAAGAAGUUUGCUCAAGUAACUAAACAGAAUGUACCUUGAAAUCAAUCAGCAAAAGCCAUUUUCCAUUGAAUGUCCAAGCCUGUUGAAACUAACUGUGGAGUCUAACCAUCCUUCAACUUUUGCUCUUUCAACAUAAUCUUUAAAUUGUUUUUCAGCAUCUGGUACAU
rnacentral:lncRNA from 1 species